GGGGCAUCACAGUAUCGCAGCAAUGCGGGAUGGGUGGCGACCGGCAAACGGGUGCGGAACACGUACACAACCUUCCGGUGAGAGGGGGAUAGCCCAGAGAAAUUUGGAUUAAUACCCCAUACUAUAGUGAUCAGGCAUCUGGUUAUUAUCAAAGGCUUCGGCCGCUUAUUGAUGGGUGUGCGUCUGAUUAGGUAGUUGGUGGGGUAGAGGCCCACCAAGCCUGCGAUCAGUAGCUGAUGUGAGAGCAUGAUCAGCCACACGGGCACUGAGACACGGGCCCGACUCCUACGGGAGGCAGCAGUAAGGAAUAUUGGACAAUGGACGCAAGUCUGAUCCAGCCAUGCCGCGUGAAGGAUGAAUGCCCUCUGGGUUGUAAACUUCUUUUAUAGGGGAAGAAAGUUAUCUUUUUUAGGAUAUUUUGACGGUACCCUGUGAAUAAGCACCGGCUAACUCCGUGCCAGCAGCCGCGGUAAUACGGAGGGUGCAAGCGUUAUCCCGGAUUCACUGGGUUUAAGGAUGCGUAGCGGGUAUGUUAGUCAGUGGUGAAAUACCGGAGCCUAACUUCCGAACUGGCAUUGAU
rnacentral:rRNA from 1 species